rnacentral:tRNA from 1 species
UAAAAGGUCGGGAUAGCU